rnacentral:lncRNA from 1 species
UUGAAGAUUAUAGUGAUUCUGAUCUAGAUGAUGUCUCAGAUGAUAUUGAUGACAAAGGUGCGAAUGACGAUAGGAAUGUUAAAAUGUCUUCAGUUGGUAAACCAAGUCAAGGUAUUAUGAUACGCAAUGAUCCUGGGGCACACAUAUCGAUCAUAGAUCCCGAUACGACACAUGCAUUUGAGUUCCUAGAGUACCCCGAUAUACUACUUGUUCACCAGUUGGCUGUAG